rnacentral:miRNA from 1 species
CCUGGGGAUCUUGCUAAAAAUGCAGAUUCUGAUUCUUAUUUCUGGAGUGGGGCCUGAGAAUCUGCAUUUCUAACAAGUUCCCAGGUAAUGCUGAUGCUGCUGGUCUGUGGCCCGUGCUUUGACU